UACGUAGGUGGCAAGCGUUGUCCGGAUUUAUUGGGUUUAAAGGGUGCGUAGGCGGUCCUAUAAGUCAGUUGUGAAAUACGGCAGCUUAACUGUCGAGGUGCAAUUGAUACUGCAGGACUUGAGUACAGACGAGGUAGGCGGAAUUGACGGUGUAGCGGUGAAAUGCUUAGAUAUCGUGAAGAACACCGAUAGCGAAGGCAGGUUACUAGACUGUAACUGACGCUGAGGCGCGAAAGUGUAGGGAUCAAACAGG
rnacentral:rRNA from 1 species